UACGGAGGGUGCAAGCGUUAAUCGGAAUUACUGGGCGUAAAGCGCACGCAGGCGGUUUGUUAAGUCAGAUGUGAAAUCCCCCGGCUCAACCUGGGAACUGCAUCUGAUACUGGCAAGCUUGAGUCUUGUAGAGGGGGGCGGAAUUCCAGGUGUAGCGGUGAAAUGCGUAGAUAUCUGGAGGAACACCGGUGGCGAAGGCGGCUUGCUGGACAGUAACUGACGCUGAGGUGCGAAAGCGUGGGGAGCAAACAGG
rnacentral:rRNA from 1 species